rnacentral:rRNA from 1 species
UCCUACGGGAGGCAGCAGUGGGGAAUCUUAGACAAUGGGGGCAACCCUGAUCUAGCCAUGCCGCGUGWGUGAUGAAGGCCCUAGGGUCGUAAAGCUCUUUCACCWGAGAUGAUAAUGACAGUAUCWGGURAAGAAACCCCGGCUAACUCCGUGCCAGCAGCCGCGGUAAUACGGAGGGGGUUAGCGUUGUUCGGAAUUACUGGGCGUAAAGCGCACGUAGGCGGAUUARUAAGUUAGAGGUGAAAUCCCAGGGCUCAACCCUGGAACUGCCUUUAAUACUGYUAGUCUUGAGWUCGAGAGAGGURAGUGGAAUUCCRAGUGUAGAGGUGAAAUUCGUAGAUAUUUGGAGGAACACCAGUGGCGAAGGCGGCUCACUGGCUCGAUACUGACGCUGAGGUGCGAAAGUGUGGGGAGCAAACAGGAUUAGAUACCCUGKKAGYCCACACCGUAAACGAUGAAUGCCAGACGUCAGCAAGCAUACUUGUUGGUGUCACACCUAACGGAUUAAGCAUCCGC